GCCCACUAGACAUGUACACUUUACAAUCAUUCCAUAAAACAAAUAUAGUAGACCUAUUGCAUAUAGUAUAAGAAAAACAGACCAAAACACAAAAAUUUAACUAUAACCACUGAACCAUGAAAAUGAGGUCAAGGUCAGCUGACACCUGCCAGUUGGACAUGUACACCUUACAGUCCUUCCAUACACCAAAUAUACUAGCCCUAUUGCUUAUAGUAUCUGAGAUAUGGACUUGACCACCAAAACUUAACCUUGUUCACUGAUCCAUGAAAUGAGGUCGCGGUCAAGUGAAAACUGUCUGACAGACACGAGGACCUUGCAAGGUACGCACAUAUGAAAUAUAGUUAUCCUAUUACUUAUAAUAACAGAGAAUUCAACAUUACAAAAAAUUUGAACUUUUUUUUCAAGUGGUCACUGAACCAUGAAAAUGAGGUCAAGGACAUUGGACAUGUGACUGAAGGAAACUUCGUAACAUGAAGCAUCUAUAUACAAAGUAUGAAGCAUCCAGGUCUUCCACCUUCUAAAAUAUAAAGCUUUUAAGAAGUGAGCUAACGCCGCCGCCGUAGCCGCCGCCGCCGCCGGAUCACUAUCCCUAUGUCGAGCUUUCUGCAACAAAAGUUGCAGGCUCGACAAAAAA
rnacentral:lncRNA from 1 species